UCCUUGAAGGGUUGAGCCAGGUGAGUUCCAUGACACAGACCUUUAAUGAGGACUUCCCUGUGCAAGAGGGUGUCAGACAUGGGCCCAACGCAGCCCCUGCCCUGGGGUGAAUUGAGACUGUUUGGGGGGUGGUGUAAGGGGAGAAGGUGCCAGGAAAGCCACCACUGUGAAGAGCCACAGGGGGGCAGUAGUGAGAGCCACCAGAGGGCCUGGGUUCAAGGCUUAACUCUGCCCUGUGUCUUUUUAUUUUUUUUUUUUUAAGAUCGUAUUUACUUAUUUGACAGAGAGACAGCAGCGACAGGGGGAACACAAGCAGGGGGAGUGGGAGAGGAAGAAGCAGGCUCCCAGCGGCACUCCCAGCGGCGGAGCCUGAUGCAGGGCUCAAUCCCAGAACGCCGGGAUCACGCCUUGAGCCGAAGGCAGAUGUUUAACGACUGAGCCACCCAGGCGCCCCUGCCCUGUGUCUUAAGCAAGUUUCCUAAACGAUCUGAGCCUCAGAUUUCCUAUCUAUAAAAUGGGAAUAAUUCAAUAUGUUCAAAAUACUUAGAACAGUGUUGGGUAACUACUCAGAGAUAUGUUAAGUGCUAUCAUUAUCAUUACAAGGCAAACCAUGCUCGUGCUUUCAUGGUACAAAACAGGCUGGGGCCAUUGGAGGAGGAGAUUCGCGGAGGCAGGAGUGUUGAAGAUCUGGGAAGCCUUCCUGGAAGAGGUGCCCAUGAAAGAUAAGCUAAGUGGAGGCCUGGCUCUUCCAGCCAAUGGGGCCAGGAGGAGCUAGGCUGCUGCACGGGGACUUCCAGCCUCAUCCAGCGACGCCCGGGCCUGUAAAAUCAUCCUUCUCCUUCCUCAUGAGGAAACUGAGGCUCACAGAGCUUAAGGGGCAUGUCCAAGGGCCGCCCCACCACGGAGGCUCCACGGGGAAGAUGGAGGCAAAGGGUACCAACAUGCUGCCAGGAGCAUUGUCUGGAUACGACUCAUGACUUUGGCUCAUAUUUCGUUGGCCGAAGCAAGUCACAUGGCCACCUGACUUCAAGGGGGAAGAGAAGGACCAUCUUGCCACCUGCCCUUUGAGAAGAGAGAACAGAAAUACUUAGACUGCAGAACUAAUCCCAGUUACAACUAGGAUGCCCAACUGUCCUCAUUUCUCGGGGCCAAUGGGGUUCCUAGAAUACAGGACUGUCAGCUGAAACAGAAUGUCCUGGGCAAACCAGAACACGUCGUUCCCCCUCACUGUGCCACAUCGUCCAUUCUUCACCAACUCACUUCUCAAUGACAAUAGGCCCUCUAGCAGAUGAGUCCAAGUUUUUCUGCCCGAAUCCCCUAUUGUUGGAGACUUACAUUGUUUCUAGUUUUGCACAUGUAUAAAUACAUUGUCUAAAAUAGUGUCAGGAAUAAAACCUUGUCCAUAGGACUUCUCA
rnacentral:lncRNA from 1 species